UACCAGCACCCCGAGUGGUCGGGACGAUUAUUGGGCCUAAAGCAUCCGUAGCCGGUCAUGCGAGUCCUCCGUUAAAUCCACCUGCUUAACAGAUGGGCUGCGGAGGAUACUACAAGGCUAGGAGGCGGAAGAGGCAAGCGGUACUCAGUGGGUAGGGGUAAAAUCCUCUGAUCCAUUGAAGACCACCAGUGGCGAAGGCGGCUUGCCAAUACGCGCUCGACGGUGAGGGAUGAAAGCUGGGGGAGCAAACCGG
rnacentral:rRNA from 1 species